CUCCCCGUGCUCGACCGCUGUAAUAAGACGACGAUGACUAAUUUAUGCAAUUUGCAAACGAUUGCCGACCGCGGCUUUGUUCUUUUCAUCGUCCGACGUAGACUCACCGCAUAUCGGUUUAUAGCCGCGAUAGCAUUUCCAGUAGUAGGGAACGAAGUACUCCAAGAACAUCGGGCAGUCGGUUGCCUCGUAGCACCAAUCGUGCAUCUUACAACAUCUGUGGAUAAGAGAAUUUUUUUUAUUUUAUGUCAUAUUCACCCGUUUCUUUUUUUUCAUUUAUCUUUCGAAGGUGAGAAGCAGGAAAUUCAACGUAUCUAUAUUGCUGUCGCGUAUCACAUUUCACCUCAGGCAUGAAGCUUGUUAGUGGAAGCAUCGUCCCUUCUCUCUUUAAUCACGUCCCCCGCACGGUCGAGAAGCGAAAAGUUUCUCACAGUUUUUGACGAGAAAAACGUGCGGGCUGCAGAUUUUCUAACGCUAGUAAUACCAACGAACAGUUUCCUCUAUAUCUAUGCAGAAGUAAAAAGUAUAGGCUCGAGGUGAAAUGUACUCGAAAGAGAAAAUCGAGGAGUGUUUAUUUCCUCGUAGACUCACCUGUCAAUACCGUCUAUGGAAAAUCCUGAUCCUAAAAAACCGCAGUAACAUCCGUAUCCCUUCUUCGGAAUUGAGUCUGAGAAUAUCGGUUUUCGUAAUUUUAUACAUCGAGGCCUAAAGGACGAACGGGCCCGAGAACAUCGGAAUUGGAUUGAAAAUAAACAAGACACCGGAGUUUAAUCAUUUUGAACAUACAAUUGUAAUUAGAAACCUUUUCUCGAGUUGUCCGUCGAAAAAUUUUAAAUUGCUGAUUCAAUACGGCGGACAAGGAAAAACGACAAGAGGGAAAAUUUUGAAAAAAUUCUGUAAAGUAUUUCGGUGUGUAUUAAGCUUGUGUAAAAAUUGGCAUUCGAAUUUUCGUGGUAGAUUGGUAUGGAAUUAAUUUUUUCGUGGAAGAGUACGAAUUUCGACCAUUUGUUUACAUGUGCUGUUUUUUCAAUAGAUAAAUAAAUAAAUUUUAUAUUUUUUUAAACUUAGCAAUAUUUCAGGGACCAUGUGGAACCAAAAAACUUGGCCGUUAUUACCAAAAAAAGUAGUUUAAUAAAUAGAAAGCUGUAGAAAGAAAAGUGGGACGCUGGGCUCAUAUCAAUAUCGCGAGAAGAAUGACAUCAGUGAAUUGUAUCCCUUGUUUGUAAAAUCCCAAUGUACCAGCGCGAUAAAUCGAAAUCGAAAUCGAGGGCGAAUCAAAGGGUUAACUAUCGUUCAGAUUUUUACUCGACGGUAUUUUUUCUCUUUUUCCAAAGCGUUAAUCAGCAACACUCUUAUCGGACACGGCGACCACGUCUGUUUGAAAUUUCCACCCUCCGUGAGGUCCCCAUUUUUCCACUAACCCGGGAACACGGCUGCCACCCAGCCAUCUGACGAAUGCGCUUGUAUUUUUUACUCACUCGGUCU